rnacentral:rRNA from 1 species
AGAGGCCUACCAUGGUGGUAACGGGUAACGGGGUGUUAGGGCACGACACCGGAGAGGGAGCCUGAGAAACGGCUACCACAUCCAGGGAUGGCAGCAGGCGCGCAAAUUACCCAAUCCCGACACGGGGAGGUAGUGACAAUAAAUAACAAUACGGGGUUCUUUCGGAUCUCGUAAUUGGAAUGAGUACAAUUUAAAUCUCUUAACGAGGAACAAUUGGAGGGCAAGUCUGGUGCCAGCAGCCGCGGUAAUUCCAGCUCCAAUAGCGUAUAUUAAAGUUGUUGCAGUUAAAAAGCUCGUAGUUGAAUUUCGGGAUCGAAUUGUCGGUCGUGCUUCGGUACGCACUGGCAUUAUCGGUUUCUACCUUCUGAAGAACCGCGAUGUCAUUAAUUUGGUGUCGUGGGGAAUCAGGACUGUUACUUUGAAAAAAUUAGAGUGUUUAAAGCAGGCGUACGCUUGAAUACAUUAGCAUGGAAUAAUGGAAUAGGACGUUUGAUUCUAUUUUGUUGGUUUCUAGGAUCGACGUAAUGAUUAAUAGGGAUAGUUGGGGGCAUUAGUAUUCAAUUGUCAGAGGUGAAAUUCUUGGAUUUAUUGAAGACUAACUACUGCGAAAGCAUUUGCCAAGGAUGUUUUCAUUAAUCAAGAACGAAAGUUAGGGGAUCGAAGACGAUCAGAUACCGUCGUAGUCUUAACCAUAAACUAUGCCGACUAGGGAUCGGAUGAUGUUAAUUUUUUAAUGACUCAUUCGGCGCCUUACGG